GACGAACGCUGGCGGCGUGCUUAACACAUGCAAGUCGAACGGAAAGGCCCUGCUUUUGUGGGGUGCUCGAGUGGCGAACGGGUGAGUAACACGUGAGUAACCUUCCCUUGACUUUGGGAUAACUUCAGGAAACUGGGGCUAAUACCGGACAGGAGCUCCUGCUGCAUGGGGGGGGUUGGUAAGUUUCGGCGGUUGGGGAUGGACUGGCGGCUUAUCAGGUUGUUGGUGGGGUAGUGGCAUACCAAGGCUUUGCGGGGUAGCAGGCCGGAGAGGGUUACCGGCCACACUGCAAUUGGGAUGCGGCCCAGACUCCUCCGCGACGCAGCAGUGGGGUAUAUUGCAUUAUGCGCGGAGGCCUGAUGCAGCAACGCCGCGUGCGGGAUGCCGGCCUUCGGGUUGUAAACCACUUUCGCCUGUGACGAAGCGUGAGUGACGGUAAUGGGUAAAGAAGCACCGGCUAACUACGUG
rnacentral:rRNA from 1 species